UGUCUUUUUGAAAAUAAUAUAAAGUCUAAUCUGCCCACUGAUUUUAAUUGAAGGGCUGCAGUAUUUUGACUGUACAAAGGUAGCAUAAUCAUUAGUCAUUUAAUUGAUGACUUGUAUGAAGGAUUGGAUGAGAUAUAAACUGUCUCUUAUUUAUAGUAUAGAAUUUAAUUUUUUAUUUAAAAAGUUAAAAUAUAUUAAAAAGACGAGAAGACCCUAUAGAGUUUUAUGGUUAAAUUUAAUUAGGAUUAUUUAUAUUAUUAAAAUUAAAAUUAAUUUAAUUAUUAUAUUGGGGUGAUAGAAAAAUAUGAAAAACUUUUUAUAUAUAUAUAUAUUAAACCAUUAAUAAGUGAUUAAAUGAUCCAGUAUUAUUGAUUAUAAGAAAAAGUUACCUUAGGGAUAACAGCGUAAUUUUUUUUUUUAGUUCAUAUAAGAAAAAGAGUUUGCGACCUCGAUGUUGGAUUAAGAUAAAAUUUAAAUGUAGAAG
rnacentral:rRNA from 2 species